rnacentral:rRNA from 1 species
CCCGCUGAACUUAAGCAUAUCAAUAAGCGGAGGAAAAGAAACCAACAGGGAUUGCCUCAGUAACGGCGAGUGAAGCGGCAACAGCUCAAAUUNGAANUCUGGCCUUUACGGGUCUGAGUUGUAAUUNGUAGAGGAUGUUUCGGGCACCGCUCCGGUUUAAAUUUCUUGGAACAGAAUGUCAAAGAGGGUGAGAGUCCCGUCUUGAACCGGUUGUAGGGUCCAUGUGAAACUCCUUCGACGAGUCGAGUUGUUUGGGAAUGCAGCUCAAAAUGGGUGGUAAAUUUCAUCUAAAGCUAAAUAUUGGCCAGAGACCGAUAGCGCACAAGUAGAGUGAUCGAAAGAUGAAAAGCACUUUGAAAAGAGAGUUAAACAGUAUGUGAAAUUGUUGAAAGGGAAGCGCUUGCACCGGUUGUAGGGUCCAUGUGAAACUCNUUNGACGAGUCGAGUUGUUUGGGAAUGCAGCUCAAAAUGGGUGGUAAAUUUCAUCUAAAGCUAAAUAUUGGCCAGAGACCGAUAGCGCACAAGUAGAGUGAUCGAAAGAUGAAAAGCACUUUGAAAAGAGAGUUAAACAGUAUGUGAAAUUGUUGAAAGGGAAGCGCUUGCAACCAGACUUGAGCUCGACGGUUCCCCCUUCGUUUUCGUUGGGUUAUUCUGUCUUGUCCAGGCCAACAUCGGUUCGGGUGGUUGGUUAAAGGCUCUGGGAAUGUAUNUNNCCUUCGGGGAAGACUUAUAGCCCGGGGUGUCAUGCAGCCUACCUGGACCGAGGAACGCGCUUCGGCUCGGAUGUUGGCGUAAUGGUUGUAAGCGACC